CGCGCCUGCAAAGGAUGCAGCAUCGCCCCAUCAAGUGCCUUGCAGGCGGCCGGACGAUGUACCUCAUCCCGUGAUCGGCAAUUUUGCCGAUUCAAAUUCUUUC
rnacentral:sRNA from 1 species